AGAGUUUGAUCCUGGCUCAGAUUGAACGCUGGCGGCAUGCCUUACACAUGCAAGUCGAACGGCAGCACGGGAGCUUGCUCCUGGUGGCGAGUGGCGAACGGGUGAGUAAUAUAUCGGAACGUACCCUAGAGUGGGGGAUAACGCAGCGAAAGUUGCGCUAAUACCGCAUACGAUCUACGGAUGAAAGUGGGGGAUCGCAAGACCUCAUGCUCAUGGAGCGGCCGAUAUCUGAUUAGCUAGUUGGUAGGGUAAAAGCCUACCAAGGCUUCGAUCAGUAGCUGGUCUGAGAGGACGACCAGCCACACUGGAACUGAGACACGGUCCAGACUCCUACGGGAGGCAGCAGUGGGGAAUUUUGGACAAUGGGCGCAAGCCUGAUCCAGCAAUGCCGCGUGAGUGAAGAAGGCCUUCGGGUUGUAAAGCUCUUUUGUCAGGGAAGAAACGGUGGACUCUAAUACAGAUCACUAAUGACGGUACCUGAAGAAUAAGCACCGGCUAACUACGUGCCAGCAGCCGCGGUAAUACGUA
rnacentral:rRNA from 1 species